rnacentral:rRNA from 1 species
GACGAACGCUGGCGGCGUGCUUAACACAUGCAAGUCGAGCGGGGAGUUGGCCUUCGGGCUGACUUCUAGCGGCGGACGGGUGAGUAACGCGUGAGCAACCUUUCUCUCAGUGGGGAAUAACACAGGGAAACUUGUACUAAUACCGCAUGAGACCACAGAGCCGCAUGGCUUAGGGGUCAAAGAUUUAUUGCUGAGAGGUGGGCUCGCGUCCGAUUAGAUAGUUGGUGAGGUAACGGCUCACCAAGUCGACGAUCAGUAGCCGGACUGAGAGGUUGGACGGCCACAUUGGGACUGAGACACGGCCCAGACUCCUACGGGAGGCAGCAGUGGGGAAUAUUGCACAAUGGGGGGAAACCCUGAUGCAGCAACGCCGCGUGAGUGAAGAAGUAUUUCGGUAUGUAAAGCUCUAUCAGCAGGGAAGAAAAUGACGGUACCUGACUAAGAAGCCCCGGCUAACUACGUG